GAAACUUUCAAGGUUAUGGAAACAAUCACUCCAUUGUCUAUCCUCCUAGGGACAAGCACCUCAGAUAUCGAACAAGAGUUUUUGCUGCAGAGUGUUUGAGUCAUCUUCCUGCAGCAGUUGGAAAGAAUCCAGUGCAUUUUGAUAUAGCAUUGGCUAGACAGCAGCCUGCCAGUGGAUCGAGCUCUGGAGACUGGCUGGUUCUUCAAUUGCAAGAACUAGUUUCCCUUGCUUAUCAGAUCAGCACAAUUCAG
rnacentral:misc_RNA from 1 species